rnacentral:rRNA from 1 species
UACGUAGGGGGGCAAGCGUUGUCCGGAAUUAUUGGGCGUAAAGGGCGCGCAGGCGGUCUUUUAAGUCUGAUGUGAAAUCUCGUAGCUUAACUACGAGCGGUCAUUGGAAACUGGAAGACUUGAGGACAGAAGAGGAGAGUGGAAUUCCACGUGUAGCGGUGAAAUGCGUAGAGAUGUGGAGGAGCACCAGUGGCGAAGGCGACUCUCUGGUCUGUAACUGACGCUGAGGCGCGAAAGCGUGGGGAGCGAACAGG